rnacentral:rRNA from 1 species
GACGAACGCUGGCGGCGUGCUUAACACAUGCAAGUCGAGCGGUAAGGCCCUUUCGGGGGUACACGAGCGGCGAACGGGUGAGUAACACGUGGGUGACCUGCCCUCAGCUCUGGGAUAAGCCUGGGAAACCGGUCUAAUACUGGAUAUGACUCCAUGACGCAUGUUGUGGGGUGGAAAGCCUUGUGCGGCUGAGGAUGGGCCCGCGGCCUAUCAGCUUGUUGGUGGGGUGAGGCCUACCAAGGCGACGACGGGUAGCCGGCCUGAGAGGGCGACCGGCCACACUGGGACUGAGACACGGCCCAGACUCCUACGGGAGGCAGCAGUGGGGAAUCUUGCGCAAUGGGCGAAAGCCUGACGCAGCGACGCCGCGUGAGGGAUGACGGCCU